rnacentral:tRNA from 1 species
GUUCCCGUAGCUCAGCAGGAUAGAGCGCAAGAUUCCUAAUCUUGAGGCCAUGGGUUCGAAUCCCGUCGGGAACGCCA